UACGUAGGUGGCAAGCGUUGUCCGGAAUUAUUGGGCGUAAAGCGCGCGCAGGCGGCUAUCCAAGUCAGUGGUGAAAGCCCGGAGCUCAACUCCGGAACUGCCAUUGAAACUGUUUAGCUUGAGGAUGAGAGAGGUGAGUGGAAUUCCCAGUGUAGAGGUGAAAUUCGUAGAUAUUCGGAAGAACACCAGUGGCGAAGGCGACUCGCUGGACAGGUAUUGACGCUGAGGUGCGAAAGCGUGGGGAGCAAACAGG
rnacentral:rRNA from 1 species